ACCAUGUGCCCACUAUCAGAGAUAAGAUCAGAAGAAAACAGACGCAAAACACAACCGGUGUGAUUAAAUGACUCCGGGACACUGGAAAGCAAAACAGGUCAAGCACACAACUGUAGUUGCCAGUGUCACUCUUUAAAAAACGUUCAAUCGUAAACGUUGCCUCCAUGCUCUUUACGUCAAAACACCUGGAUCUGAACAACAGAGCCAUACUUGCAGAGUUCUUGAGCCUGCAAGUGAUAUGUCUGCAGGGAGUAUACGGUCUGUAUGAGCAGGAAGAGACAGGAAUCAUUUUCCCAUGUGUAUCAAGAAUGGUGCACCACCCAAAGGACAUCCAGGCAACUUGACACAACUGUGGGAAGCACUGGAGUCAAUAUGGGCCAGCAUCCCUGUGGAAUGUUUCGACACCUUGUAGAGUCCAUGCCCAGACGAAUUGAGACUGUUCUGAGUGCAAAGAUUGGACUCUUAGAAAGCCCUUGUUAACAUAGAGUGUCACGGCUGUCUAGGACCAGUGGAGAUGUGGAAUCAGGAGCAGGAGACAGAGGGCCGGAGCAACUGUGUUUUAAUAAUAAUAAUAAUAACACGCAAUAGCCGUAGGGCACAGGGCGCGUGGCGAAGUCCGCCAGGACAAAACACCUUCCCAAAAUAAGCGCACUGAAAAGGAAAAAGCGCACGGGGCGCAGCCCGGCAAUA